rnacentral:rRNA from 1 species
UGGGGAAUAUUGGACAAUGGGCGAAAGCCUGAUCCAGCGACGCCGCGUGUCGGAAGGAGUCCUUCGGGAUGUAAACGACUUUUGGUGGAGACGAAUAAGCAGCUCAGAGAAUGGGGCUGUGAUGACGGUAUCCAUGAAAUAAGCCCCGGCUAACUACGUGCCAGCAGCCGCGGUAAGACGUAGGGGGCAAGCGUUACCCGGAAUUACUGGGCGUAAAGGGAGCGUAGGCGGGAGGUCAAGUCCGGUGUGAAAGACCCUGGCUCAACCAGGGAUGAGGGCUGGAAACUGACAAUCUUGAGUACAGCAGAGGAAGAGGGAAUUACCGGUGUAGGGGUGAAAUCCGUAGAGACUGGUAAGAAGGCCAGUGGCGAAGGCGCUUUUCUGGGCUGUUACUGACGCUGAGGCUCGAAAGCCAGGGGAGCAAACCG